rnacentral:rRNA from 1 species
AACGAACGCUGGCGGCAUGCCUAACACAUGCAAGUCGAACGAGAGCUUCGGGUCUAGUGGCGCACGGGUGCGUAACGCGUGGGAACCUGCACUUAGGUUUGGAAUAACUCUCAGAAAGGGGUGCUAAUACCGGAUAAUGUCUUCGGACCAAAGAUUUAUCGCCUUUGGUUGGGCCCGAGUUGGAUUAGCUCGUUGGGAGGGUUAAAGAAUACCCAGGCGACGAUCCAUAGCUGGGUUGAGAGGAUGGUCAGCCACACUGGGACUGAGACACGGCCCAGACUCCUACGGGAGGCAGCAGUGGGGAAUAUUGGACAAUGGGCGAAAGCCUGAUCCAGCAAUGCCGCGUGAGUGAUGAAGGCCUUAGGGUUGUAAAGCUCUUUUACCCGGGAUGAUAAUGACAGUACCGGGAGAAUAAGCUCCGGCUAACUCCGUG